CACUGAUGUAAAGCAUGUAGGGGUGUGUCGCAUCAUCAUGUUUUUGAGUUCAUCACCUGUACUGCAGCUCAUCAUCCAUUAACAUCACAGAACAGCGAUGGCAGCAGCAGCCUUGUCAAGCAGCAGAGGAGUGGCUGGUGGCCUGUACAUCCUCUUCACUCUGCUGUGUCUGGUUUGCCUCGCAAGUUCAUGGAUACACGACGAGAAACUGAAAGAUCUCAAAGAAGACAAUCAGAAAAUACAACAAAAC